CACAGACAACUGCAACAAUGACACUCCAGCCCAUCCUGCUCUUAAACUAAACGGUCUGAAGUGUGUGACCUGCACUGGCCAAAAUGUCUGCAACACAACAGAGUGUGUGGACACAGAGGACCACUGCUUCAGUGGAUCAGUGACUGUUGGUGGCAAGACCUCCUCACGCCACGGCUGUGCAUCUGCAAACCUGUGUAAAAAUAAUUCUGCGUGGGCAACUGAGAAUUUUUUUGGGUUCUUUUG